UGGGGAAUAUUGCGCAAUGGGGGCAACCCUGACGCAGCAAUACCGCGUGAGUGAAGAAGGUUUUCGGAUCGUAAAGCUCUGUUAUUGGGGAAGAAAAAAAGACGGUACCCAAGAAGAAAGUUCCGGCUAACUACGUGCCAGCAGCCGCGGUAAUACGUAGGGGGCAAGCGUUAUCCGGAUUUACUGGGUGUAAAGGGAGCGUAGGUGGUUCGGUAAGUCAGAUGUGAAAGCCCGGGGCUCAACCCCGGGAUUGCAUUUGAAACUAUCGGACUAGAGUGCAGGAGAGGUAAGUGGAAUUCCUAGUGUAGCGGUGAAAUGCGUAGAUAUUAGGAGGAACACCAGUGGCGAAGGCGGCUUACUGGACUGUAACUGACACUGAGGCUCGAAAGCGUGGGGAGCAAACAGG
rnacentral:rRNA from 1 species